AUACCCGCUGAACUUAAGCAUAUCAAUAAGCCGGAGAA
rnacentral:rRNA from 1 species